rnacentral:rRNA from 1 species
UACGUAGGGGGCAAGCGUUGUCCGGAUUUAUUGGGCGUAAAGAGCGUGUAGGCGGCUUCACAGGUCUGCUGUGAAAACUCGAGGCUCAACCUCGAGCUGUCGGUGGAAACCGUGGGGCUAGAGUCCGGAAGAGGAGAGUGGAAUUCCCGGUGUAGCGGUGAAAUGCGCAGAUAUCGGGAAGAACACCCGUGGCGAAGGCGGCUCUCUGGGACGGUACUGACGCUGAGACGCGAAAGCGUGGGGAGCAAACAGG